AUUACUCGAUGCAAGAAGGGGAGCGUCCAUUUACGAUUGAGCAGGCGCAAUGGUGGGAGCGGAUCCGAACUCCCUCUUCGGGCACUGCCCCGGACGAGUUGGGUGGAGAAGCCAGAGCACGCGGCGCCGGGGGCAGGGCAGCGCUCGCGGCAGUUCGGCGCCGGGUGCUUCGGGGGCAUCGAGCUCGCUUUCCGUCGGGCGGCCGACGUGACCCGAGUUACGAGGGCUUGUGAGCCGCGGGCGAAGAACCACUGCGAGGUGGUCCGGGUGCAGUAUGAUCCCCGCAACUGCAAGUACCAAGGAGCUCUUUAAUGUUUUCCGUGCGCGCUAUAAUCCUAUUAUCCUCAAUCGCCAGGUUAUUCGUGCGUGAUCAUUGAGUCAAUUUUCUUAGGGUCCAAUAACCAUUGUACAAAAGGAAAACAAAGUUGUUACGAUCUUGAAUACACUUCUACACGUGAGAACAGGGAAAAGCCCCUAUGAAAUAUUUAGAAAGUAACCAGAAGGUCAUGAACAGGAAUAUCAUGAAAGUACUUCUCAGGUGCUCCUGAGAUUUCCUCAAAGUUUAUGCUGUCAUGAAGACAUCAUUACGAUAUUCUCAGGAAGAAUAAAUUGUGGAGGUCUUCCUACCCCACAACCUCAUGCAUGCCAACCAAGAAAGUUGGUAGCCAAUGAUUACCCACCUACCAGUGAAUUCCAUGAUUGCCCUAAGGUGAAGCUUUGCUUUCGAUCUCUGCUGUUGGGUUAGCUUUUUGGCUGGGGAGCGUUACUGUGGUCCAUAAAAGAGGUCAGUCGAUUCAAAUCUUUUCUUGUGGAAGGUUUCUUUCUGCUUUCCUCAGAAUUUUUGCUUUCUCUGCUCUGAUAGAAAGAAAUCUUGAGUUCAACAUUUACCUAUGUUCUGCUGUAGAUGCCCUACUGUGGUAUAUGAAACUUCAAAGUUGCUCUUCCUCUCAGUAAACUAUGACCACUGCGAUUAAUACUUAUCAGAUGCAUUGGGCUUGCAUGAGAUCAAUUUUGCCGUACCAUUUGUUGACUCUUUGCAUGUUUUAUCUCAUCUCAAUAGUUCGAUCACUGUUGCAUGGGACUGGGCAUAGAAGAAUAUUUCGGGAAUAUAUGCAUGUUGGUUCCAAGUUAGAUCUAGAUUGGUGAGGGGUGACAUUUUCCAUCUCUUUGGUGCAAAACACCAUAGUAACAUGAGACACUCAGUCAGCCGAUGAUAAUAAUAAAAGGUACAAUGAUCAGUUGCAUGUCAGUGGCUACAUGACCAUUGUCCAGAAUCCGAGGAGAGGAUUCGAAUAUUGGAAGAAAAAUAUAUUAAAUAGAUUCUUACAUUUCUCUCCCUUGAACAUUUGAUAAUAGUGCGUUUACACUAGCAGAUUUUAGUAUAUAUAAAUAUAUGCUUUAAAUGUUAAUAUGUUCCAAGUCAUGAAAUGUUGAUCAUAGGAGUGAGCUCCCGCAGCCAGAGUGCAUGACGGGGACGGAUGUCGACGUCCUUCGCAACCAACCAGUGGCCACAGGCGCUCCGGCAGCCACGAACUGCCCCUCUCACAACCGCUCUCCCAGUAGCUACGCCGCGUUGGGGGACGCUGCCUCUGGUGAGGGCAACUGCUGGCCAAGCAGCGAAGGCCCGCGCGGGGCCUGCUGCCAGCCGGGCGAGGAUGGUUCUGUGUUGCUGCCAACGGUUGCUCUCCGUGGCGUCGUUAAUGGGGAUGGAACAGAGGGGAAGAAGAAUAAGAAUAAGCAGGUGGAAGGAAGACGAGUGAGGACGAGAAAAAAAAAUGUGAGAAGGUGAGAAAGGAAAAUGGAUCCAUUAAUCGGUAUCGGUCAUUUGGAUAAUUAUAUAAAAUAUAGGCUAUUUAUCGAAAAAAUAAGUACGUUUCGUGUUUUUUAGGUUAUUUAAAUAUCAACAGAUACC